AACGCACCUUGCACCCUUUGGAAUUCCGAAGGGUAUGCUCGUUUGAGUGUCAUUGUACUCUCACACUCUCUGAUCCUUUGGAUUCGGGGAGCGGUGGACUUGGGUGUUUGCUGCUUUUCCUUGUGGCUCACCUCAAAUGCGUUAGUGCACCUCUUGGUUGGACAUAGUACGGCGUGAUAAGUAUCUUCGCCGGCACCUCGCAAGAGGGUGGCCGAUCGAGAGCUCUGUGCUUUCAAACCGUCUUCGGACAAUGUCUGACAACUUGACCUCAAAUCGAGUAGGACUACCCGCUGAACUUAA
rnacentral:misc_RNA from 1 species